GCAGAGUAGGGUCUCGCGCGUUGUACGCAGGUACUUUAGUGCUCGCCGGACGGGGAGUUGCCGGAGGGACGAAGAGCGUAAGCGCUCGCGGUGCGAGGCCCGCAUCCCGCUGC
rnacentral:ncRNA from 1 species